rnacentral:rRNA from 1 species
CCUACGGGAGGCAGCAGUGAGGAAUAUUGGUCAAUGGACGCAAGUCUGAACCAGCCAUGCCGCGUGCAGGAAGACGGCUCUAUGAGUUGUAAACUGCUUUUGUACGAGGGUAAACGCAGAUACGCGUAUCUGUCUGCAAGUAUCGUACGAAUAAGGAUCGGCUAAAUCAGUGCCAGCAGCCGCGGUACUACGGAGGAUUCAAGCGUUAUCCGGAUUUAUUGGGUUUAAAGGGUGCGUAGGCGGUCGGAUAAGUUAGAGGUGAAAUCCCGAGGCGCAACUUCGGAAUUGCCUGUGAUAGUGUUCGGCUAGAGAGUAGUAGCGGUAGGCGGAAUGUAUGGUGUAGCGGUGAAAUGCGUAGAGAUCAUACAGAACACCGAUUGCGAAGGCAGCUUACCAAGCUACUUCUGACGUUGAGGCACGAAAGCGUGGGGAGCAAACAGGAUUAGAUACCCUUGUAGUC